AAUCUUGUGCAUAUAUUUCAUUUUCUGAGGGGGAGCUCAUAUUAAGGGGGAGAUUUUUACAUUAUUCUUUUUGCCUAUGAUCAAAAAGGGGGAGAAGAAUUAUUAAGGGGAGAAACAAUUUUCAAUUGUACAGGUACUGCUAACUCUGUGGUUGUUUUUUAGUUUGUAUGUGUUGCAGGUAAACCUGAGUUGCUUUUAAAU
rnacentral:lncRNA from 1 species